rnacentral:rRNA from 1 species
AACCAUGGUAAUUCUAUGGCUAAUACAUGCGCAAUCGCCUCCUUCUURGGAGGGGCUGUGUUUAUUAGAUACAAAACCAACCCACAUUUUGGAGUCGUGGUGAUUCAUAGUAACCGAACGGAUCGCAGUUGGCUUUGGCCCGCGAUGGAUCUUUCAAGUUUCUGACCUAUCAGCUUUCGACGGUAGGGUAUUGGCCUACCGUGGCAGUGACGGGUAACGGGGAAUUAGGGUUCGAUUCCGGAGAGGGAGCCUGAGAAACGGCUACCACAUCUAAGGAAGGCAGCAGGCGCGCAAAUUACCCAAUGAAAACAGUUUCGAGGUAGUGACGAGAAAUAACAAUACAGGGCAUUUUAUGCUCUGUAAUUGGAAUGAUGGGAAUGUAAAACCCUUUCAGAGUAACAAUUGGAGGGCAAGUCUGGUGCCAGCAGCCGCGGUAAUUCCAGCUCCAAUAGUGUAUAUUAGAGUUGUUGCAGUUAAAAAGCUCGUAGUUGGAUUUCUGUCGUGGUCAUCUGGCCCGCCCGUAUGGGUCUGGGCCUGCAUGCCCUCGGCUUUCUCCCGGCAGGCCCCCGCGCUUGACUGCGUGCGGGGCUUUUCUGGGGCUUUUACUUUGAGAAAAAUAGAGUGUUUCAAGCAGGCUUGUCGCCCUGAAUACUUCAGCAUGGAAUAAUAAGAUAGGACCUCGGUUCUAUUUUGUUGGUUUCUAGGACCAAGGUAAUGAUUAAUAGGGACAGUUGGGGGCAUUCGUAUUUAACUGUCAGAGGUGAAAUUCUUAGAUUUGUUAAAGACGAACUACUGCGAAAGCAUUUGCCAAGGAUGUUUUCAUUAAUCAAGAACGACAGUAGGGGGUUUGAAGACGAUUAGAUACCGUCGUAAUCUCUACCAUAAACUAUGCCGACUAGAGAUAGGGAAAUGCCUACCUUGGCUUCUCCUGCACCUCAUGAGAAAUCAAAGUCUCUGGGUUCUGGGGGGAGUAUGGUCGCAAGGCUGAAACUUAAAGGAAUUGACGGAGGGA